rnacentral:rRNA from 1 species
UACGAAGGGGGCUAGCGUUGCUCGGAAUGACUGGGCGUAAAGGGCGCGUAGGCGGAUGGCACAGUCAGAUGUGAAAUUCCCGGGCUUAACCUGGGGGCUGCAUUUGAUACGUGUUGUCUAGAGUGAGGAAGAGGGUUGUGGAAUUCCCAGUGUAGAGGUGAAAUUCGUAGAUAUUGGGAAGAACACCGGUGGCGAAGGCGGCAACCUGGUCCUUGACUGACGCUAAGGCGCGAAAGCGUGGGGAGCAAACAGG